rnacentral:rRNA from 2 species
UUGAUCCCCGCUCAGGACGAACGCUGGCGGCGUGCUUAACACAUGCAAGUCGAACGAUGAAGCCCAGCUUGCUGGGUGGAUUAGUGGCGAACGGGUGAGUAACACGUGAGCAACGUGCCCGAAACUCUGGAAUAACCACCGGAAACGGUGGCUAAUACUGGAUAUGUGCCAGGGAGGCAUCUCCUCUGGUUGGAAAGAUUUUUCGGUUUCGGAUCGGCUCACGGCCUAUCAGCUUGUUGGCGGGGUAAAGGCCCACCAAGGCGACGACGGGUAGCCGGCCUGAGAGGGUGACCGGCCACACUGGGACUGAGACACGGCCCAGACUCCUACGGGAGGCAGCAGUGGGGAAUAUUGCACAAUGGGCGCAAGCCUGAUGCAGCAACGCCGCGUGAGGGAUGACGGCCUUCGGGUUGUAAACCUCUUUUAGUAGGGAAGAAGCGAAAGUGACGGUACCUGCAGAAAAAGCACCGGCUAACUACGUGCCAGCAGCCGCGGUAAUACGUAGGGUGCAAGCGUUGUCCGGAAUUAUUGGGCGUAAAGAGCUCGUAGGCGGUUUGUCGCGUCUGCUGUGAAAUCCCGAGGCUCAACCUCGGGCCUGCAGUGGGUACGGGCAGACUUGAGUGCGGUAGGGGAGAUUGGAAUUCCUGGUGUAGCGGUGGAAUGCGCAGAUAUCAGGAGGAACACCGAUGGCGAAGGCAGAUCUCUGGGCCGUUACUGACGCUGAGGAGCGAAAGCAUGGGGAGCGAACAGGAUUAGAUACCCUGGUAGUCCAUGCCGUAAACGUUGGGCGCUAGAUGUGGGGACCAUUCCACGGUUUCUGUGUCGUAGCUAACGCAUUAAGCGCCCCGCCUGGGGAGUACGGCCGCAAGGCUAAAACUCAAAGGAAUUGACGGGGGCCCGCACAAGCGGCGGAGCAUGCGGAUUAAUUCGAUGCAACGCGAAGAACCUUACCAAGGCUUGACAUAUACCGGAAACUUCCAGAGAUGGUUGCCCUGCUUGCAGUCGGUAUACAGGUGGUGCAUGGUUGUCGUCAGCUCGUGUCGUGAGAUGUUCGGUUAAGUCCGGCAACGAGCGCAACCCUCGUCCUAUGUUGCCAGCACGUUAUGGUGGGAACUCAUGGGAUACUGCCGUGGUCAACACGGAGGAAGGUGGGGAUGACGUCAAAUCAUCAUGCCCCUUAUGUCUUGGGCUUCACGCAUGCUACAAUGGCCGGUACAAUGGGCUGCGAUACCGCGAGGUGGAGCGAAUCCCAAAAAGCCGGUCUCAGUUCGGAUUGGGGUCUGCAACUCGACCCCAUGAAGUCGGAGUCGCUAGUAAUCGCAGAUCAGCAACGCUGCGGUGAAUACGUUCCCGGGCCUUGUACACACCGCCCGUCAAGUCAUGAAAGUCGGUAACACCCGAAGCCGGUGGCCUAACCCUUGUGGAGGGAGCUGUCGAAGGUGGGAUCGGUGAUUAGGACUAAGUCGUAACAAGGUAGCCGUACCGGAAGGUGCGGCUGGAUCACCUCCUUAA